rnacentral:rRNA from 1 species
UACGAAGGGGGCGAGCGUUGUUCGGAAUUACUGGGCGUAAAGGGCGCGCAGGCGGCUCUGAAAGUCAGAUGUGAAAGCCCCGGGCUUAACCUGGGAACUGCCUUUGUGACUGCAUAGCUAGAGUACGGUAGAGGGGGAUGGAAUUCCGCGUGUAGCAGUGAAAUGCGUAGAUAUGCGGAGGAACACCGAUGGCGAAGGCAAUCCCCUGGACCUGUACUGACGCUGAGGAGCGAAAGCGUGGGGAGCAAACAGG